UAUCGUAUUUUGUUACAGGGGUAAAAUCAUUGUAUCAAAAUUUUGAUGGGAGAGUUAUCUUCCCUUGAGAAGGAAAGCUCAAGACCUAUAAUUGCCAUGACUAAAAAUAAAUUUUUGGAUUCUUCCAAACCACACUAUCAUUGCAAUGAAGUGUUAUAAUGCAAAUUGUUUUCAAAACACAAGUAAAGGUAAGUGGUACCAGUGCACAUAAAUAUGUCUCAUGGAAACACUUAAGUACUCUUUUUUUUUUUUUUUUUGUCUUUGUCCUUUCAGGGCCACACCCAUGGCAUAUGGAGGUUCCCAGGCUAGGGGUCGAAUUGGAGCUGUAGCUGCUGGUCCACGCCACAGCCACAGCCACAGCCACACCGGAUCCUUAAUUCACUGAGCGAGGCCAGGGAUCAAACCUGCAACCUCAUGGUUCCUAGUCAGAUUGGUUUCUGCUGCACCACAAUGGGCUCUCCUUAAGUACUCUUAACAGUGCUCACUGUGCAUAGAAACCAUGGUUGUAUUGCUGUACUACUUCACGUGUGUCAACAAAAUCUCAGGCCAAGGGCCAGGCAAAAGUUUGGUUGCAGCAGUGAACUCAGGUUUACCUGACAAAAGAAUUGUUUUCCCAUCCAAGGAGUCAAUAUAGGAUAAAGAUGUGGGCUCUAGAGCGAGGCUUUGUUUGUGUGCUGGCUCUUCCAUGUGUCAUCUUGAGUAAAUUAUAUACCCUUCUUGUGCCUCGGAUUCGUCAUCUUCAGUAGCAGUAACUACCUCACAAAGGUUGAGGGAAUUAAAUAGCGUAGGCAUAGUGCUUACAGCAGUGUCUGACCAUAUCAUAAGCUCUGAAAAAUGUUAAUUAUAACCAAAGAAUUGACCACAUAGCCAUUUUAUAAGAUUAAGCUUUUGGUUUCAGGCAUAAGAGCACAUUUGAAUUGCUUAGUUUGAGUUAUCUGAUCUAUGGAUGUCUUCCUUUGGCGCAAAUGUUGGAAGUUGUUAAUUUGUAUGCUCACUGGUUUAUAAAAGGGAAACAGUUGAGAUAUAACAUCAUUCCACCUGCAAAAGUUUAAAAAUUCAACUUUUUUCUGUCAGUUAUUUUUUAAAAUUCAAUAACUAGUGUUUAAGUUAUUUAGUUUUUAUUAUAUCAGUUCUGUAAUCUUGUGGUUACUACAGAGAAUUCCCAGUAAUGUGUAAAAUCAGGAACAAGGUAAAACAGGACAGUUAAAAAUACAGUGUUGAAAAGAAACAUGGAUAGAUAUAGCAGACACCCUAGAUAAGAUCAGUAUUAGUGGAAAACAGAGCAUGGCUGUGUUUCUUGACAAAUGUGUGAGAAGAGUGUUGAGUUGUAAUCUUGUUUGGGUUUAACAGCAAGCAGACAAGUUUUUCCUUAGUACCGUCAUAUGAAAUACUGGGUGAUAUGGGGAAUCCAAUGGGAGUUUUGUUGUAGCUGAUGUUAAUCUGUUGAGAGAUUCAAGGGAGAACUUUUUUUUUUUUGCCAUUUCUUGGGCCACUCCCGUGACAUAUGGAGGUUCCCAGGCAGUGGAGUUACAGCUGCCGGCCUACACCAGAGCCACAGCAACACGCGGCUCGGAUCCAGUGUUGCUGUGGCUCUGGCGUAGGCCGGUGGCUACAGCUCCGAUUCGCCUGGGAACCUCCAUAUGCCGAGGGAGCGGCCCAAGAAAUAGAAAAAAAAAGACCAAAAAAAAAAAAAAA
ensembl:lncRNA